rnacentral:rRNA from 1 species
UACAGGGGGGGCAAGCGUUGUUCGGAAUUACUGGGCGUAAAGGGCUUGUAGGUGGCCAACUAAGUCCGACGUGAAAUCCCUAGGCUUAACCUAGGAACUGCGUCGGAUACUGGAUGGCUUGAAUCCGGGAGAGGGAUGCGGAAUUCCAGGUGUAGCGGUGAAAUGCGUAGAUAUCUGGAGGAACACCGGUGGCGAAGGCGGCAUCCUGGACCGGUAUUGACACUGAAAAGCGAAAGCCAGGGGAGCAAACGGG